rnacentral:lncRNA from 1 species
GCAUAUGGAGGUUCCCAGGCUAGGGGUUUAAUUGGAGUUGCAGCUGCUGGCCUACACCACAGCCACAACAGCAACGCCUGAUCAGAGCCCUGUCUGUGACCUACACCACAGCUCACGGCAAUGCUGGAUCCUUAACCCACUGAGCAAGGCCAGAGAUUGAACCCAGGAAAAAUAGGUCAAAAUCAGGAAAAGGAAAGGACAAAUCAGUCAUAGCAAAAAAUGUCACCUGUGAAGUGGCGUGGGGUGGUGGCAUGUAGGAAGAGAAAUGGAUCUACCAGUCAUGCUGGUGACUGUGUCCUGGGUAAGGGCUUUGUCCCAGAAUUGUGUUCAGCAGCACCCCCUUUGAUUCUCAGAGUUGUCCUUGUGUGGAUGAGAAGCUCUUUGGUCGCGUAGUAGUCACAGGGAAUCUAGAAUAUCACUUACACACUUAAGUGAUGGGAGGGGGGAAACUGCAUGCUAUUUGGGCCACAAAGCCCUGAAUUAUUACAGGCAGGUGGACACUUAGUGAAGGAACUUCUAGAACCUUGUUCUCUAAGCCAGGGUGCUCUUCCUCUUAUUUUUACUAAGCCCUCUAUUUUUUUUAAAUUAAAAAAAAUUCUUAUAUAUAAUGAUUUUUAUUUUUUUCCAUUAUAGCCGGUUUACAGUGUUCUGUCAAUUUUCUACUGUACAGCAAGGUGACCCAGUUAUACAUACAUGUAUAGAUUCUUUUUUCACACAUUAUCAUGUGCCAUCAUAAGUGAUCAGACACAAUUCCCAGCGCUACACAGCAGGAUCUCAUUGCUUAUCCAUUCCAAAGGCAAUAGUCUGCAUCUAUGAACCCCAAGCUCCCAGUCCAUCCCACUCUCUCCCUUUCCCCCUUGGCAACCACAAGUCCGUUCUCCAAGUCCAUGAUUUUCUUUCAAGCCCUCUCAUUUUUACUGAAGCCCAUCUGCUGGCUGGUGAAAUGCAAGUGGAGAAAAUAGGAGGAUACAGGGUGAGGCAGGGAGGGGAGAAAAAGCCCAAGAAGUCAUGGGAUCCUCAGUCCAUUUUAUACCAUGAAAUCACACGGGGAAAUGGACUCAGUGACUGUGCUUGUCUGCCACAGCUCUGUUUGUCUUUCUGGAAGGCAGAAGUCCUGCUUUGGGAGUGGACAGCAUUGGUCAGCAGCCUGACUCGGCCUGACUCGGCCUGACUCGGCCUGACUCAGUGGCCCCUCUGCACAGUUCCUUGUUCUGGGGUUCCCAUGAAGUGUCUUCAAGAUACAUGCCAGUUUCUGACCGUUGUAGACAAGACCACCUCAGUGUUUGGUAUUUGUGUUCCACUGGCAGUCAGGAUGUGUAUGUGUGUGUGUCUGGUGGGCGGUGUGGGUGAACCACCCUAAUCCAGGAAAAGCACACAGGCAACCCCCCCAACUCGGGCGGCACCCAGCUGGCCCCCUGUGUUCUAUUUUAAAAGCUCCAACGUAGUCUGAUCUGAGGUCUGUCCAUUUCAUCCCUUCCUUGUUUACUGGAACAUUGGGUCACUGCAGUGCAGCUGGAACACAAUCUCUGGGCGAUUCAGCAAGGCCAAGGCGGGCCGUACAAGGCGUCACAUCAUUGCACUGUUUUUCCUCCCCUCCCACUGAGUUUUCUUGGAAGUUCUGAGCCAGGCUCAGUGUGUAUCUCCAGAAAUGCAUUCCACAUUCCCAGCUGCUUACAACUCAGCAAGUCUCACUGUCCCUCCUUUUAAAAUCCACGUGCCCUGAAGGGUUAGAGAGAAAGAAGCCCACACCAAGGGUUGUCCCAGGCUCCCGGUGUGUUUGCUACUGCCUGCUGCACAGAGUUCCGACAGGGUCCUCCCUUAACAAGCAAAGAGGAAAAUCAUCUCUGUUGCGAUGCCAGUGUGACUCGGCAAAGUUGCAUCUAGCGUGCGCGUCUGUCCUGGCUGAGGGGGGCUGAGAGAGGCUUUGCUGCCCUUUUCCCCCUUGAAUACGAGUUUCUCGUGACUUUCCACCACCCUGAACUCACAAUGAUCCGUCAAGGACCUUCUCCUAUUUCCCUCCCAGCACCAUCCUAAUUUCCUCCCUUCAGUGGCUUCUCUCCUCUUCAUGAUCACUUUAUCCCUUCCUGGACCAGAGGAAAUAACGAGAGACAGGUGAGAAACAGCCAAACACAUCAAAAAUCCUAUUUGUCUCUUUGAGGGUGAAAAUGGUGCCUCUGUCUUUUACAUUUGUACUUGCUGUUGAAUUAGCCAUUGAUUCCUUAGGAUGGAGCGCCAGCCUCACUUGGGAUCUUGUUGAAGUGCAUGGUCUCAAGCCCUAGCCCAGACCUUUUGACUCAAAGCCUCUUGGGCUGUACAGGCCAGCAGUCUGAGUUUUCACAAGCCCUCCGGGUAACUCUGAUGUGUGCAAGUUUGGGAAUCCUUAGGGUAGAGGGGUCUCCGUGGAGAUGGGGGGAGGGGAGGCUUGCGGUUUCCCUCUGCGCUCAGAUGUUAGAAUCAGUGGAGGGGAACAGAGCCUGUGCCGUGCUCCUUAGGGCUGGCUCAGGCCCCUUGCCUUUCAAGCUGGGGCAGGUGUAAGAGUGAAGGUGAGGAGAAGGACUGAGAAGCCAUGGUGACCCUAUCGGAUGCCCUCCGUGAGCUGGCUCUAUGCACCACCCUUUGGAUGGGAAUCUAGAGCUUCCUGAUCAUCUCUCAGACCAAGUCAUGUAAUGGUUUAGAUUCCAUCACUCCACUUCUGAGAAAUGUGCUCUUCAUCUUGUCAAUGCUUUCCUUUCUAUACUCUGAAGAGCCCCCAAGAUUAUUAAGAGGUAUUGAGAUCUAUGAGGCUAGACACAUGAUAUCCAAUUUGCAUUUCCCAGCCAUAUGUGGCUACCGAACAAUUGAUAUGUGGGUAAUCUGAGCCGAGACAUGAUCAGAGUAUCCAUACACAGCAUAUUGCAAAGGUAUAGUCCAAAAAAAGGAUAAUUAUUUCAUUAAUACUUUUAAUAUUGGUUUCAUGUUGAAAGUAUAACACUUAGACUGUGUUGGGUUACAUAAACUGUAUUAACAUUAUUAUUUUUUUUUUCCAUGCUCAUGGCAUGUGGAAGUUCUCAGACCAAGGAUCAAAACUGUGUCACAGCAGCGACCCUAGCUGAUGCAGUGACAAUGCCAGAUCCCUAACCUUCCGCACCACAAAAGAACUCCAACAUUAAUUUCAUCUAUUUAUUUUCACCUUUUAAAUUGUGGCAUUGGAAAAAUUAAAAAUUACCAAUACAGCUCAUAUUUGUGACUCACAUUUUACUUCCGUGGGAAAGCGCUGGUCUGGUUAGUCCGAGACUCUAGUCAAACGCAGGAUUUUGAAUAACACAAGUGGAUAGGCCAGGAGCAAAUACAAGGGAGCAAGUGUGAACUAUAGCAUGUAGAACAUGUUGAGGUAAAGCAGUGUAGCCUAAAGCAUGAUAGCAGAUCCCCUGAACUUUGGAGCUAGACAUACUAGGGUUGAAUCUAGACUCUGCCACUUACUAGGACAAGGACAAGUAACUUAAGCUCUUUGAAUUUCAGUUUUCGCCUCUGUAAAAUGAUGGUCUUGGUCCCUAAAGAGGUUUUGUGAGAAUUAGUUAAGACAAUGAACAUAAAAGGCUGAAUACUAGUCCCAGCCAUUAAGAAGUACUCAAUAAAUUUAUUUAUAUUUUUACUCAGUAUGCAUGAAUUCUUGUUACAUAAGAAGGAAUUCUAUUACUAGAUUGUAUUAGAUACUGAUUAUGGAACCUUUGUUUUGGAGGAUCCUUAGCAUUUAGAUGGAGCUCCUCUAUCUGGAAUGGUUUGUGUAUCAUCCUACCCAAAAUAUCAGGUGAAUGUCUUAAUUUUUCAGUGCCUCCUCCGCUGAAAAUCCACAGCCAGGCAUGGACCCCUCCUCACCACCUCCUACUAUGGUACUUAAAGACCUCACCAUGAAAAACUGGAUUGCAUAAAGGACUGCUCCUGGACAGAGACCCCUGGCUUGUUAUAUUUGCACAACUGGACAGUUUUCAUGGCAUAGAUUGGAUGGACUCUGUCAGUGACAGGAGGCAAUGUCCCUCCUGAAGGAGGGAAGGGAGUCUCUUCACUAGCAAAUACUCCAGGUGAGCAAAGUGAGGGUUGGGUGGAUAAUGGGAAGGCAACACUAUGCUCCUGGCUUUAAGAUUUAUGGAUGGGCCCUGAAAGAAGUGUUUUAGCCUUUCUGUCCCUAAGAGCACAGAACAUCUAGUUUAGAUUUCCCCAAAGAGAAGGCAGAUCUCUCACAAGUUUACAUGGAGGCAGGGAUGAGAUAAAAGGGUGACAAUGAGGUGAAAAAGAGUGGAAAAAACAAACAAACUGAAAAAGGUGCUGCCCAGCUCUACAUUGAAAGACCCUAAGAGUGUCCAGGCCUAAUAGCAUAUCUCUUAAGGGUAUAGUCUCUGGGAUCCCAGCAGACUGACACUGUGAUAAAACUCUGUCACAAUUUCUCAGCCAUUGGGGAAAAAAAAAAAGAUCCUGUGAUUCCAACCAUGGAACUGCUACUCAAAACAACUGCAAGAAAGAGGAAGUAGAGACCACGCGAGGUAUUUCCGUGUAAGACUGUUCCACCUUGAGAAAAGAAGCAAAAUGUGGAAAUGGGUCCUUGGCUGGAGAAUGGAUUAAAGAGUCUUUGGUCUCUUUCUGAAUUGUGCUACUUAAUUUAUCAUCACCACCAUCAUCAUCAUCUUUGUUGUCAUCAUCUCCAUCAACCGUGCUUCCUACAUGCCAGAAGUGUUGUGUUCCCUGGUUGAUCUCAUUUAAUUCUUCUGACAGCAAUAUGAGGUAAGCACUCUUAUUAUGCCGUCUUUAUGAAUGAGGAAACCGAAGCUUAGGAACAUUAAGUGAGUUGCUCAAGGUUCAACACACCCCUGUUGCAGACUGGCUGGAACUUCCAUACUUAAUACACAGAAAGGCAAACUGAAAGUGCCGUAUUACAAAUCACCAAGGGAAUCCUUACAUCAGAAGUGCUCAGCCUAUAUCCAACCUAAAAUCUCUUUUAUAAGAAAUGUUUUAUGUCAACAUAUUUACUAUCCUGAAAUGAAAUUCACAGAUUAUAUAACCAACCCAACUCAACACACUAUAUUUGAAAACCGAUAUUUAGUUAAUUGAAAAGAAACGUGACAUGAAGGUGUAUUGUAACAACGUAGUAUAUAUUAUAAUAUCUAAACAUUCAAGCACAGUGAGAUGCUUAUUUCUAUAUAUAGAAUCACCAUGGAAACCACAGCCACAAAUCCUGACAGCUCAAAUAUCACAAGUAGUGCUGAUAAUUGAUG